AGUUUGAGGAUUAGGAGUUUGAUUUAGAAUCGAGGAUUCGGGAGAGGAGUUUGUGGGCCGGGUGAACAACAAGUAGACGGACACAAAUUCGAACCACACGCGGAUAAAUCCGGGUGGUGAUUCACGGAGGGAGGACAAGACGGUUUAGGACGACACAGGACAGAACCGCUGUUUGUGUACAACUACAGCACAAACGUAGAACACAAAUCCGGAUCGGGUUGGACGGAAAACAGGAAACAAACAAAUUCUUUGAUCUGCCGUGCAAUAAAUUGGGCUGAUACCAAGAAGUUGUUUCCGUUGGCGUCCCGAACAGU